rnacentral:rRNA from 1 species
AUAUCAUAAGCGGAGGAAAGAACUAACAAGGAUUCCCCUAGUAACGGCGAGUGAAGCGGGAAGAGCUCAAAUUUGUAAUCUGGCACUUUCAGUGUCCGAGUUGUAAUCUCGAGAAGUGUUUUCCGCGCCGGACCGCAUACAAGUCUGUUGGAAUACAGCGUCAUAGUGGUGAGAACCCCGUAACUGAUGCGGAUGCCCGGUGCUUUGUGAUACACUUUCGAAGAGUCGAGUUGUUUGGGAAUGCAGCUCAAAUUGGGUGGUAAAUUCCAUCUAAAGCUAAAUAUUGGCGAGAGACCGAUAGCGAACAAGUACCGUGAGGGAAAGAUGAAAAGCACUUUGGAAAGAGAGUUAACAGUACGUGAAAUUGUUGGAAGGGAAACGAUUGAAGUCAGACUUGUUAUCUGGAGUUCAGCCUUUCGGUGUACUCUCCAGUUUACAGGCCAGCAUCAGUUUUCGGGGCGGGAAAAUCGUAAUUAGAAGGUAGCAGCCUAGCUGUGUUAUAGCUUUUUACUGGAUUCCGCUUUGGGGACUGAGGAACGCAGUGUGCUUUUAGCAAUACCCUCGGGUAUUUCACACUUAGGAUGCUGGUGGAAUGGCUUUAAACGACCCGUCUUGAC